rnacentral:lncRNA from 1 species
GUACUGGGACGAUUCCGCGGAGCCGGGCAGAGGUUUUAGGGGUGCGCAGGAGUCAAGUGGUGGUUCAGUGGGGACGGAAUGAUUAACAAAGGCGUCCGAAGAAAUCGUUGUUGGAAGGUGACCAAGGUGGAAAGAGACGUUGCUUUGGCCCUGCAAAGUCUGUCACACUAAGAUGAGAAAUGUCCUUUCUUCCUGAAGGUGUCUGAUGUGUAAAAAUAUGAUAUACUUUGUGCUGUUUCCUCCCUUCCCUUUUGCAUAUUAUUCUGAAACAACAUUAACUAGUUACUUUGCGUCAUUGAAGGUAUGCACUUCCCCUCUAUGUUAGGAGUGAAUAAAAUUAAAAAUAGAUCCUUAUAACAAAGAAAGGCAGAUAGAAUGAUUAAAAAUGACCAAAACAUGUUAGAAACAGUCUCUCAGGUGUAUGCAGAUGGUAAUUACAAAAAUACUUUUUCAAAAAAUGAUCUUCUGUGUCAUGUUUCUGGGAACAAGUCAAGAUGAAUGAGUUUGAUUUUUAAGCAGAAGUAGUAUGUGUUGGUGUCAUCCAUGAAUACAACAAUGAAAAAGGCUCAAAGUUGUUGUUAUUCAGAAACUUCUCUAAGUAAUGGUGGUAAGUACAGGAAAAGGAGCAAUGUCUACCAUUUUCUUUCUAACCUUCGAUUUAACUAUUGUAAUGUUGUAAGCUUAACAGAGACUUACACUUAGGCUUAAUUUCAAGCUCUUCAAUCAUUUUUCCCGGUUGGUGAUUCAGGUGUAUUCUCAUGUCUUAUGUAAACUUAUCAUGAGUGUUGUUGAUUUAUAAUAUAUUUCUUUAUGUAAGCCAUAGCCUUGUCAGUUUGAGUUAUAUGGAAGACAAAUUGUAGGGAAAAAGAGCAACAGAUUACUCAGAAACCUUCUGUGUGAGCUGGGCAUAGUAGUGCAUGCCAGUAGGCUUAGCUACUUGGGAGGCUGAGGCAGGAGGAUCACUUGAUCCCAUUAGUUUGAGGCUGCAGUGAGCUAUGAUUGUGUCACUGUACUCCAAUCUGGACAACAGUGAGACUAUGUCUGUUUUUAAAAAAGAAAGAAAGCUUGUGUUUGAGAAGUGAUACCUCUAGAAUACAGUGAUUUCUAUAAUUUGUCAUGUGUUUGGGUAGUUUGAAGUUUUUCUAUCCUUGUAUCUAAUGGACAUCUGACCAUAAAGAUGAAAAAAUCCUGCACUCAUUAUAAAUUUUAUUUAUAAAAUUGAUAUUUGAGGAGUUGGGGAGGCCAGCUUCUGAAAAAAUAACAGUGUCCCAUAGAAACACCACAACUUAGGAAAAUAUUGUUAAAGUGGAAUUAGGAAUAUCUAGAGGAGGUAAAGCUUUUCAUCUCUCAAAAAAGAAUUAGGGCCAGGCACAGUGGCUGACACCUGUAAUCCUAGCACUUUGGGAGGCCGAGAUGGGCACAUCACUUGGGGCCAGGAGUUCAAGACCAGCCUGGCCAACAUGGCGAAACCCCAUCUCCAAGAAAUAGAAAAGUUAGCCAGGUGUGGUGGCGUGCGCCUGUAAUACCAGCUACUAGGGUGGCUGAGGCAGGAGAAUCGCUUGAACUGGGGAGGUGGAGGUGGCAGUGAGCAGAGAUUGAGCCACUGUACUCCAGCCUGGGCAACAGCAAGACCCUAUCUCAAAAAAAUAAUAAAGAGAAUUAGGACAUGGAUUUGUAUUAAAAUUAUAGGUAGCUCAUUUAAGAGUAUGAAGCCAAUUGCUGUUAGAGCAAGGGUUUUUUUCAGUAGAGGUGUCAGGAUAACCUAUACAGCUCUAAAAGUAUAUGGCUGUUACCUUCCCAUCCCUGUUGAAAUCUCCAGGGUUAGAACCAAGUAUUGUGUUUUUAAAACUAUAGGUGAGUCUACAAGAGUUGGGUGGAGUAGUCCUCUACAUCCUGUGUUUGUAUUUUUGCAGUAAGUCACACAAUAACAAAAGCUUUGAGAAAGAUUUUAGGUUUAUUGCUAAUUAUACCCAUGAAUGAAUUCUGAAAAUGUGUAGAUAAGGAAUUUACCUGGUGAACGGUUUACACAUGGCAAUUGUGGGAGGGAGAGGGGAGUGAGAGGAGAUGAGAUCAGUUUUAGCUUUAAGAGGACCAACCGGGCCAAGCACGGUGGCUCACGCCUGUAAUCCCAGCACUUUGGGGCCGAGGUGGGUGGAUCACGAGGUCAGCAGUUCAAGACCAGCCUGACCAACAUGGUGAAACCCCGUCUCUACUAAACAUACAAAAAAUUAACUGAGUGUGGUGGCGGGUGCCUGUAAUCCCAGCGACUUGGGAGGCUGAGGCAGGAGAAUCGCUUGAAACUGGAAGGCGGAGGUUGCAGUGAUCCGAGAUUGUGCUAAUGCACUCUAGCCCGGGCAAUAACAGCAAAACUCCCGUUUAAAAAAAAAAAAAAAAAAGGGACCAACCAUGAUAUCCUGACUAACCUGUAUAUUUCUUAGAAUGAGGGUUUAGCCUAAUAUUAAGAAAGUCUAAUGUUAAGAGACACCUAGUAAGAGCUCAACGCUGUGGUAAAAUUAUGAUAGUUAUGCAGAAACUUAAAAGCUGAAGUAUCCAGAGACAAUAUAUUGUUUAGAAUUUUCUGAAAAUAAAAAUUUUCUUGCCCUAAGUCUUGAAUUUUUAAGUUAUUGAUGUUAAUAUUUAUGAUCUUUGAACAAAUGAUAUUAUAAUAGAGUAUCUUUUAGGUCACAGAGACCCCUUUUUAGAGCUGAGAAAUCUUACAAAUUCCUCAGCCCAUGUUUUACAGAUAAGGAAAUGGGCAUGCACACAGUGAAAUUAAAAAUUGCUAGUGGUCACACUGUACAUUGAUGGCAAAGGCAGGGCAGAAUUAGAAUCCAAUUAUCUUACCUGUUCAGUGUCUUUAAUGAUACAGCAAGCUCACCACUGUUUCUCUUUACUCUUUAAACAGUGGAUUUUUUUUGUCAUGAUUUUGAUUUCUUGUAUAAUGCAGUUCAAUACUUGUUUAAUUUUAAUGUUGGACUCUCAAUUUUUAAGACAGUAGUACACAUGAAAUGUGCUUUAUAUUUUAUGUUUCAACAAGAAAAUACACAUUUUCCUUUUAAUAGAGGAGCUUAAGUUCCUAAUUUAAAUAAUUGAGUAUGAGCUUCAGAUACUUCAGAGUGGUAUUAAUAAACUUUGCUUUUCCAAAUGGUUUCAGAUAAGCAUUUAAUAUUCAAAGCUUCCU